GACGAACGCUGGCGGCGUGCCUAAUACAUGCAAGUAGAACGCACAGUUUAUAUCGUAGCUUGCUACACCAUAGACUGUGAGUUGCGAACGGGUGAGUAACGCGUAGGUAACCUGCCUGGUAGCGGGGGAUAACUAUUGGAAACGAUAGCUAAUACCGCAUAAUAUUAAUUAUUGCAUGAUAAUUAAUUGAAAGGUGCAAUUGCACCACUACCAGAUGGACCUGCGUUGUAUUAGCUAGUAGGUGAGGUAACGGCUCACCUAGGCGACGAUACAUAGCCGACCUGAGAGGGUGAUCGGCCACACUGGGACUGAGACACGGCCCAGACUCCUACGGGAGGCAGCAGUAGGGAAUCUUCGGCAAUGGACGAAAGUCUGACCGAGCAACGCCGCGUGAGUGAAGAAGGUUUUCGGAUCGUAAAGCUCUGUUGUAAGAGAAGAACGGGUGUGAGAGUGGAAAGUUCACACUGUGACGGAUCU
rnacentral:rRNA from 1 species